rnacentral:rRNA from 1 species
AACGCGAAGAACCUUACCUGGGCUCGAAGCGCAGUGGACCGGGGUAGAAAUAUCCCUUCCCCUUAAAAGGCUGCUGCGGAGGUGCUGCAUGGCUGUCGUCAGCUCGUGUCGUGAGAUGUUGGGUUAAGUCCCGCAACGAGCGCAACCCUCGUCCUAUGUUGCCAGCGGGUAAUGCCGGGGACUCAUAGGAGACUGCCGGGGUCAACUCGGAGGAAGGUGGGGAUGACGUCAAGUCAUCAUGCCCCUUAAGUCUUGGGCUGCAAACAUGCUACAAUGGCCGGUACAGAGGGCUGCGAGACCGCAAGGUGGAGCGAAUCUCAAAAAGCCGGUCUCAGUUCGGAUUGGGGUCUGCAACUCGACCCCAUGAAGUCGGAGUCGCUAGUAAUCGCGAAUCAGCAACAUCGCGGUGAAUACGUUCCCGGGCCUUGUACACACCGCGCAUA